UACGUAGGGCGCAAGCGUUGUCCGGAAUUAUUGGGCGUAAAGAGCUCGUAGGCGGCUUGUCACGUCGGAUGUGAAAGCCCGAGGCUUAACCUCGGGUCUGCAUUCGAUACGGGCUAGCUAGAGUGUGGUAGGGGAGAUCGGAAUUCCUGGUGUAGCGGUGAAAUGCGCAGAUAUCAGGAGGAACACCGGUGGCGAAGGCGGAUCUCUGGCCCGAUACUGACGCUGAGACGCGGAAGCGUGGGGAGCAAACAGG
rnacentral:rRNA from 1 species